UACGAAGGGGGCUAGCGUUGCUCGGAAUUACUGGGCGUAAAGGGCGCGUAGGCGGAUAGUUUAGUCAGAGGUAAAAGCCCAGGGCUCAACCUUGGAACUGCCUUUGAUACUGGCUAUCUUGAGUACGGGAGAGGUGUGUGGAACUCCGAGUGUAGAGGUGAAAUUCGUAGAUAUUCGGAAGAACACCAGUGGCGAAGGCGACACACUGGCCCGUUACUGACGCUGAGGCGCGAAAGCGUGGGGAGCAAAUAGG
rnacentral:rRNA from 1 species